rnacentral:rRNA from 1 species
CAUGGUUUUCUUUUAAAAGAUGGCUCUGCUAUCACUUCUGGAUGGACCCGCGGCGUAUUAGCUAGUUGGUGAGGUAAAGGCUCACCAAGGCAGUGAUACGUAGCCGACCUGAGAGGGUAAUCGGCCACAUUGGGACUGAGACACGGCCCAGACUCCUACGGGAGGCAGCAGUAGGGAAUCUUCCACAAUGGACGCAAGUCUGAUGGAGCAACGCCGCGUGAGUGAAGAAGGGUUUCGGCUCGUAAAGCUCUGUUGUUAAAGAAGAACGUGGGUAAGAGUAACUGUUUACCCAGUGACGGUAUUUAACCAGAAAGCCACGGCUAACUACGUGCCAGCAGCCGCGGUAAUACGUAGGUGGCAAGCGUUAUCCGGAUUUAUUGGGCGUAAAGCGAGCGCAGGCGGUCUUUUAAGUCUAAUGUGAAAGCCUUCGGCUCAACCGAAGAAGUGCAUUGGAAACUGGGAGACUUGAGUGCAGAAGAGGACAGUGGAACUCCAUGUGUAGCGGUGAAAUGCGUAGAUAUAUGGAAGAACACCAGUGGCGAAGGCGGCUGUCUGGUCUGCAACUGACGCUGAGGCUCGAAAGCAUGGGUAGCGAACAGGAUUAGAUACCCUGGUAGUCCAUGCCGUAAACGAUGAUUACUAAGUGUUGGAGGGUUUCCGCCCUUCAGUGCUGCAGCUAACGCAUUAAGUAAUCCGCCUGGGGAGUACGACCGCAAGGUUGAAACUCAAAAGAAUUGACGGGGGCCCGCACAAGCGGUGGAGCAUGUGGUUUAAUUCGAAGCUACGCGAAGAACCUUACCAGGUCUUGACAUCUUCUGACAGUCUAAGAGAUUAGAGGUUCCCUUCGGGGACAGAAUGACAGGUGGUGCAUGGUUGUCGUCAGCUCGUGUCGUGAGAUGUUGGGUUAAGUCCCGCAACGAGCGCAACCCUUAUUACUAGUUGCCAGCAUUAAGUUGGGCACUCUAGUGAGACUGCCGGUGACAAACCGGAGGAAGGUGGGGACGACGUCAAAUCAUCAUGCCCCUUAUGACCUGGGCUACACACGUGCUACAAUGGAUGGUACAACGAGUCGCGAGACCGCGAGGUUAAGCUAAUCUCUUAAAACCAUUCUCAGUUCGGACUGUAGGCUGCAACUCGCCUACACGAAGUCGGAAUCGCUAGUAAUCGCGGAUCAGCAUGCCGCGGUGAAUACGUUCCCGGGCCUUGUACACACCGCCCGUCACACCAUGAGAGUUUGUAACACCCAAAGCCGGUGGGGUAACCUUUUAGGAGUCUAGCCGUCUAAGG